rnacentral:rRNA from 1 species
AUUGAACGCUGGCGGCAGGCUUAACACAUGCAAGUCGAACGAGUGGCGGACGGGUGAGUAAUGCUUGGGAAUCUCGCUUAUGGCUGGGGAUACCUACGGGAAACUGUAGCUAAUACCGCUUACCCUAGGAUGAGCCCAAGUGGGAUUAGGGAGUUGGUGAGGUAAAGGCUCACCAGGCCGACGAUCUCUAGCUGGUCGGAGCGGAGGACCGGCCACACUGGGACGGAGACACGGCCCAGACUCCUACGGGAGGCAGCAGUGGGGAAUAUUGCGCAAUGGGGGCAACCUGACGGAGCAAUGCCGCGUGAAUGAAGAAGGCCUUCGGGUUGUAAAGUUCUUUCGUUAGCGAGGCGUUAACUACAGAAGAAGCACCGGCUAACUCCGUGCCAGCCGCCGCGGUAAUAC